ACGACCAUGAUGGAAUGGUAGACAUGCCCAGUUUAGGCCUGGGUAGUACAAAGCUUUGAGGGUUCAAGUCCCUCUGGUCGUA